UUCGCAAUGCCCGAAAGGGUGACGAAGCGACGCCGCGUGGGUGAGGAAGGCCUUCGGGUUGUAAAGCCCUGUCAGGAGUUAAGAAAUGUAAGUGUGCUAAUAUCACAUUUACUUGACGAAGGCUCCAAAGGAAGUCACGGCUAACUCUGUGCCAGCAGCCGCGGUAAUACAGAGGUGGCAAGCGUUGUUCGGAAUUAUUGGGCGUAAAGAGCACGUAGGUGGGUUUGUAAGUCAGAUGUGAAAGCCUCCUGUUCAACGGGAGAAUUGCAUCUGAAACUACUGAUCUUGAGUAUAGGAGGGGAGAAUGGAACUUCUGGUGGAGCGGUGAAAUGCGUAGAUAUCAGAAGGAACGCCGGCGGCGAAAGCGAUUCUCUGGCCUAUUACUGACACUCAGUGUGCGAAAGCUAGGGGAGCAAACGGGAUUAGAUACCCCGGUAGUCCUAGCUGUAAACGAUGGGCACUAAGUAGAGGGGUUUU
rnacentral:rRNA from 2 species